rnacentral:lncRNA from 1 species
UUGGAGAGAUCGUCUAUGCGUGGUGCGUUUUUGAGAGAGACAGAGAGAAAGGCAGCAAACUAUUUGCUUCGUUUAUUUUUUUAGAAAUGAGCCGAGCAGCCCGAAAUAUGAAGCAAAUAAACUUUGGAUUUGAAAUCUCGAAUACCGAUCAUCAAGUUCUUAGCCAACUGCGAUAGAUAGUUUGCCUCUCUAGCUCUCUCUACUAUUACUAAUGGACCGGCCAUGUGAUCUCUAUGUAGAAUGUAUGGUACACACCUUAAUUUUCUUAGGUUCUUGGAAAGGUGCUUCUCACCUCCCAUUAAUUGUGAGGAGGCUUCAAAGAAGCAUGAGCACGACAAAAAGGGGGGAGGAGGGAAAAGAAAUUGGAAAGUUAGAUAGGGACAGCAAUGAGGGUCACCUACUUGGUUUGCCCCAAUGAAGAGCAAAUUGUUUUGUGCCAUUGAUUCAUAUCAUGUGUUUGUUGGCUAUUUAUUAUUAACUAAAAGAGGACCAAUUUUUUGGCCUGCGAUAAUAUGCCCAAAAGACUAAAGGUUGAGUUGGGUAAGUCUAAUAAGUUAAGUGCGGCUGCAGUCCACAAUAGACCUAACGGCAAGAGACCCGACCUAGCAUCCAGAUGGUUGAGUUUGGUUAAAGCCCGUGAGGGCUAGCGCGGCUGAACUCUUAAGUGCGAUAAGUUCGCCCUUCUUAUCAGCACGUAUUUUUUGGAUGGUUGGUUUGCGCUUACGAUCCACAGUAUUUUCGUAACAAUCUUAUGCUUAUUUGUAUAAUUUGAAAUAGCCUAGAUAAAUUUUGUGAUCUACUAUUAAUGAUAUCAGACAUUAUUUCUAAAUAGUUUAAAUAGUUUAGAUCAUGUUCAACGAUAUCGAUCAUCGAUGGAAGCUCGAUUAUCAAAAAAAUUUGAUAGUAAUCCGAGUCGUUUAUUAUAUAUUUCAAAUGCUUCAGAUCAAAUCUAACGGAUUCAAUCGUCGAUUUGGAAGUGCUGGCAUCGAAAAUGACUUGAUAACACUGACGUCAUUGUACUUCUAAAAGUACACAUGUUUAGCUCUCUGGCUGGGGUGCUUUUACAAGCACCAAGGUAUUGGUGCUAUAUAAUUUUUGGAGGCUUCAUCGAAAACAACAAAUCGGUAAUAAUACAGUUCGUUUGUUAUCAAUAGUAUUUUAGUCCAACUACAUACAUAUAUACAUAUAUAUCACUAUAUUCUUUGAAGUCGUUAAAAUAGCAAACCGAAAUUUUUAAUCUGCAGCAUAACUGGGCUCGACGAUAUCUGUAAUUGUUAGAAUAGUUCCAGGAAGAGUGAUGCAACAAGUACAUAAAAUGAGUUAAACAUAACCAUAAACAUUUUACUGUCUAAACUUUUUUGUGCAAAGUUCACAUAAGCUAAUUAAAAACAUACAUCAAUUAUCAAAUUUGAACAAUAUAAAGUCAAGGAUCCAAAUAAGUUGAUUCGGUUCGAUUUUACAUAUAAUUCCGUUCGGUUCGACUCUAAAAGUAAAAAACCAAAAGAACUGAAUAAAUCGAAUAGAUCAAAAUUUUAAUAACUCAAUAAGUAUUAAUCUUUAAUUAUAAAAAAAAAAGAAAGAACUUUAAAUACUAUCUAUGUGGUUUCGCACUUUUUCACUUUAGUAUCCUAUGGUUUAAAGUGUAUCAAUUUAGAAUCCUAUGAUUUUAUUUUUCUCUUUUUAUUAUUCAUUACACUAAUUAUUUUUCGUUAAACCAGUGACAAAGUUAAAACUAAAGCGUAUUAAAAUAAAUAUUCGAUAAAUCUAGAUUGGGUAUCUGAAGUUUUUUAUAUACAAUUUAACAAAAUAUUAACAGAGGAGCUGACAAAAGAGAAAAAUGAAACCACAUGGUACUAACUUGAUACACUUUAAACCACAGGAUACUAAAGUGAGAAACGACGAAACCGCAGGGAUGGUAUUUGAAGUUUACCCAAAAAAAUAUGUACUAAUUUUACAUAAUAAUUAAAUAAUUAGAGAUAUUAAUUAUUCUUAUCUUAGAUUAAUAAUUUUCAACAUAAAAUUAGUUAUGAAUAUAUCUUAUUUUUAGUAGGCUAAAAAGAUUUAAACUAAAUGAAGAUAAUUUACUUAAUUAAAUCAAAUAAAUCGAAUCUAACCUUCGGUUCAGUUUGUGCCUCUAAUUCGGUUCAGUCCGAUAUCUUAAAAAACUGUAAAAAUUAAACCGAACCGAACCGAACCGAACCGACCGAUGCUCACCCCUAAGACUAGUGCCAAUCAAUUCACUGAGCUCAUGAAGCUCAUUACACUCAUCUCCUUUUAAGUUCCAAAAACAACAAAUUCUCUAACUACAAUAAAUUUCUUUGAUAUCAUUAUGACAAUGAAAGGGCAAUGAAACUAAUCCCGGACAAAGUGAUGUGGUUCAUUCCCCUCCUCACCUUUUGCCUCUGCAACAAAAUAGUGUUCAAAGUGGGUACAACCCCGUGCGUAAGAUUCGCUACGCACCGGAUUGAUUUUGACGGACUUUAUUAUAAAAUAAUUCUUUAAAAUUUAUAAUUUACGAAAUAAUUCUGCCAAAUUUAUAUUUAGCAAAUUAAUCCUCUUUUCGUCGUGUAGCAACCACGUGGGAUUAUUUUUCGAAAAGCGGUGAAUCGUUUACCGUGUUUUUCCAUGUCUUUUAAAGGCGGUGAAUCGUUACUUGCAUUGUCCAUUUUUUUUAAAAUGCGGUGAAUCAUUCACCGUUGUCUUCUAUUUCUUAGGCUGUUAAAAUUAUAUGAAAUUAUAUGGAUAAAUUAUUAGAAUUUUCAGGCUGUUAAAAUUAUAUGUGAUUUGUUAAAAUUUUUAUGUGAUUGUUAGUAUUAUAUAUGAGAUAUAGAAAGAAACAAUAAAUAAGUGAAAGGUGGUGAAUGAUUCAGCAUCUUUGUGAAAAAUUAAGAAGGCGAUGAAUAAUUCACCGUCUUCAAAAAAAAUCUUCACCCUGGCGCCUACAUACCAAAAGGAAGGUUAGGAUUAUUUUGCAAAUUAUCAAAUUUUAGAGAAUUGUUUUGUAAAAAAAAUCUGAUUCUGAUGCUGAAUUUUAGUAGAAUUAAUCUGCACCGUCUAUAUCGAAUCGUACAGAUUAAUCAUACUAAAAUUCACCAGCUGAACAAACAGAGUUGUAUGAAAUUUAAUAAAAUCUUGCGUGUAUAUUACAAAAGACUCUUUUCUCUCUCUCUCUCUCUCUCUCUCUUAUUUUUCUAAUUAAAUAUAUAAUUGCUGUGCCAAAAAGUACAAUAUAAAAUCUAUCACUUCAUUGAGAGGGAUGUAUCAAGCUUAGAGUCCAACAUCACAUUUAAACACAGGUACUGUGUAGGCUAGGGUGUAUUUGAGCUGUCUUAUUUAACAUGAAAACUCCUUAAAAAGAGCCAUAAAAUAAAAUAUAGGUUAAAUUACAUAAAACUCUCUGUAACUAUUUCACUUUUUAUUUUUUCUUUCGGAGUUUCAAAACUUUAUAUUUUGUCUCUUUAAAAUUGUAAAAAAUAUUUUCAGAGGGUUACCAUAUUAAUAGAGAGGGCAAAAUGAUCAAAUUAUUAUUAUUUUUAUAUAAGAAAAAAAUAAUUUUUAAUAUAUUUUAUUAUUUUAGAGAAUAUUUUCGGUAUAAAUUAUAAAAAAAAAAAGAUAGAAUAGUGAUAGAAUCCUAAGGGAGGAGGCUAAAUGAAAUAACUUGAAAUGUUAAGGUGUAAAAAUGUAGAUUUUUUGAAAAUUUAAGAGAAAAGGUACAAAAAAAAAGAUACUUAUCAAAAAUUUACAAGCAAUAUAUAUAUAUAUAUAUAUAUAUAUAUAUAAUUGAGCUCCUAUGCUUUUAAAAGUACCAAGCACUUGAUACUUGGUACAGCUGGAAUACUAUCGAUAGUAUAAAGUGUUUGGUGCGAGUUUUCCGCCGUUAGAUUUAACCCUUUGAUUAUUUUCAUCCGUUAGAUUAUAUUAUUUAACCAAUAACUCACUUAACCCUAGGGGGACUCACAUUAUUCUAACUGUAUAUUUUCUCAUUCAUAAAUCGAAAACCUAAUAACACUAAUAAUUUGAUGCUAUUAAUAGUAUUCCAGCCUAGUUCUAUAUAUAUAUAGAGUUGGACUGGGCUACUAUUAGUAGCAAAAUUUCAUUAUUGCUAUCAGUUUUUUAGCCUUUGGAUCAACUCUUUUCAUCAUUUCUAACCAUUGGAUUAAAUACUAUAACCCAGUAGGGACCACUCAACCCUAGGGGGACCACUCAACUCUAACUGACUAAUAUCAACCUAACCUUACAAUUUUUUAUCCAAGGGUUAAAAACUUGAUAGCAAAAAAAGUGUUUUACUAGUAAUAGUAUUCCAGCUUAAUUAUAUAUAUAUAUAUAUUAUAACAUAUUGAUUUCUGUUUGUUAUAGAUAUAAUGACAAAUUUCACUUACAAAGUGAUUUUUCUUAUUUCCAAAAAAUAAACUUAUAUACAUAAUGAAUACGCUACUAGUAUCUAUUAUAAACUUAAUUUCGAUGUGGAGACAGGGUCUUAAUGAAUGUACAAAUCAUGUGACCCUGUGUGUGCUUCAUGUCUAGCUAACACAGCACUACUAUUUUGUGGUUCUCAUAUGCUGUGCAAUGAAUUGUUCCUACUUUUUUAAAAAAAAUACUCUUUUCAUUCUUAAUGAGAAUGAAUUAAAUCUUGGUCAAAUAAAGAGGCUUAUUGUGCAUAUUGUAGCAAAAUUCACAUGGGCCUGCAGUGUGUACAGCUACAACAAUAACAUCGUGACAAUGGCAAUAAUAAUAUUAAGUUUAUAUAAUUAAUGCUACUGCUCUGUUCAUUAAGCUAUGAAUUAAUGCAUGAGGGUUUAUUUAUUGUUACUUUGGUGGCUACAUGGGGAAAAGAGAAAAGUAAUUAAAGAACAAAAAGUAUUCAAACAAUCUCUAUGCCCCUUCCUUUUUCAUUUUUUUCUUAAAAACGAACUCUGCUAAAAUUAUAAAGUAAUUGAGUUUCAAACUUAAAAUAUCAUAUACCAGCCAUUAAGUUCUUACUCAAUUUAUAUGGUUGGUGUGUAUAUAUAUAUAUUCGAAAUUGGAGACAUGAUUUUGGUGUGUAUAAUGAAAAAUCUAAGAUGUUUGGGGCUCGUAUUGCUUUAUCGGGAAAUUAGCUUUAUAUGGAUAUUGUGAGAUAGGUUCGAUCGAGAGAUCAAAUUGGCGGUUUGACUUGACUCAAGAUGAAUUUUUCGGCGAGCUUUUAGACAACUAAGCAAAAGAACAACUACUUAACUAGCUAUUACUUUUCUAGCCACCAUUUUACGACAUAAGAAGAGCAAAGUUGAUCGACAGUAGAGAUAUUUUGACGGCUUCAACCAUCAUAUUAUAGUCUUAGAAAGAGAAGCUCUGAAACACAUUCGUGCUAUUCCAAACCUUCUACAGCAUCACUGAAACUCCACCAUUUUACAGUACUAAUAAAUGAGGCCUAAAUACACCGCUCGUAGACAACUUCGAUGGAGAAUGGAGGCCCACUUACUUAUAAGGCCUUGUAUAGUUGCGCUCGCCUUUUUUUUUACUUGAUCAUGCAAAAUUUGAAUAUAUAAAAACUACAUAACCAAAACCAAAUUGGGCUUGCAUUUUAGGGCCUCAUAUGGGCCUAGUAACCAAAAUUUGGGCCAAAAGCCGACCCACAACGAAGCCCAUUAUGAUGGGCUUAACUAACCAAACAUUUUUUUAUGUGGUAGAUGAACCAACGAAGUAGUUGCUGCUAACACUAUUUCUGAGUCAUUUCUCGCAUAAUUGAUUUUUCAGAAAAUGUGGUCUUAGUGCAGAUCCUAGUCCUAAGCUCCCAACAUCAAUUUUUCUUUUUUUUUAAUUUGAUUAGAAUGAACAAUUUUGCGCUAAGUAAUAAAGCAAAGUGACAGCUAAAGAUAGUCGCAAAAGAUCAUUAAGUUACAUAUAAAGGUGGUUGAACCAAAUAUAUUGUGAGAUCAUAUAGAAAAUCAAAAAUUUUGUGGUGAUAUGCAUUGUGUAAACACCCUAUACUUGGUUUUUUCACAGUAAAAAAUAAAUAAAUAAAAUGUGAGUUGCACAUGAGCUACAAGUCUUUUGAGAUCAAUGCCUGUCCCUUAGAGGAAGUUCAUGGUUUCUAAAGGGCUCAAACCAAUCCAUAACUCAAGCUCAUGGUUUGGUUUGAGUCCUUAAUAAAAGUUUAGAAUGACAUCUAAGCUUGGUUAACACUUUCGUCUAUUUUCAAACUCAAUUGCUUCCCUUUCAGCGCUAUGUCAGUCCAGUUUUAUUCGGUUCUUGUCCGUUUCUUCUUAAGGUCAUAUCUAAAUGUCGGAAUAACUUAUUCCGUAUAUAUAAAAAAGAAAAUCAAUAUGAUUGAAAGGAGCCCCGGCUACUAUACUCUUAUGAGUACGAUCAUCUUUAUACUCAUGAGUUGUUUUUUGUGAUAGAGCUUCCGAAUCGACGAUCCAUUCCGUUAAACAUUAUCUAGAGUAUUUAAAACUUCUAGAAAUCAAAUUUUAUAAUUUUUCGAUAUCAUUUGCCUUACGAUCAAAAGCUCACAAAAUUGACAAUUUUUAACGACCAGUGUGGAAUAUUUGCUAGUUUAACAAUGUAAAAGAAUCGGAAUAGAUUGAAUAUUUGAUAGAAAAUUCUAUUCACUACCUAAAUAAAGAUUAAUAACCCCGAUCUUAAAUUGAAGGAUCUGAUUAUCUAUUCUUAGGAGGUCGUUCGAUUUUGACCGUUCAUUUUAUACCCGCUUGAUGGGCUUUAUAAUGAUUUCAAAAAUUUACGAAAUUUAUUUUCUAAAAGUUUCAAAUAUUCUAGAUUAUAUUUAACAGUGUGGAUCGUCGAUUCGAAAACCCCAACAUCAAAAAUAACUUAUGAGUACAAAGGACUCUAUACUAAUAAAAGUAUAAUAGUCCUACUCGAUUGAAAGUAAGAAGUUUAAGUUUUACUUUUUUAAAAACCUUGUUAUUUAUAAUUUGAUAGGAUAGUAUAUUAAUAGGAUAGUAUAUUUCACCUAUAAGGUAUUUUUUCUUUUUCGAAAAACUAACUUAAAUGCCGAAUUGAUCACAAUCCUUAUUAAUCAAAUAUACAAAUUUCUCAAAAGAAUUAAGAAGAUAUAUCGAAAAACAUAUUCAUGCAUUCCGACGGAGCCUAGUUCUUACAUAACCACACUGAGCUUGUCUAGCAUGUCAAUAAGGCCUAGAACACCAUAAAAAGAAUAUUAGUACCGAUUAAAAACGAAAAUAAGUGUGAGACGUACCUCAGAUAGUUCUAUAUAUAAAUAUAAUAUAAUAUAAUAGAGCUACAUUUUUAACUUGGCUUAAGUAUUUUGGGUGAUAAUUAGGGUCAAGAGGUUAAGAGAGUUAAGCGUAUUAGGAGCAUAGUAGUCCUAGCUAUGAUGGAUAACUUCCUAGAAAGUUGGGGCGUCACAGUUGGUAUCAGAACCAAUUACCAGCCGGAAGUGUGAGAUGAGUCUCGGCUGAGUUAGGAAGACUAGCAAGAGGAGUCUCAAAUCGCCUGAUACUUGUGAGUCUGAGCCUGACGAGAACGUCAGGAUUUAAAGGAAGGGAGAUUGUGAGACCCCAGAUAAUUCUAUAUAUAAGAUAUAAUAGGGCUAAACUCUUAAUCCUACUCAAGCAUUUUGGGUAGUAGCUAGGUUUAAGAGAUUAAGAGAGUUAAGCGUGUUAGGGCGAAAGUAGUCUAAAAUUAGGGCGUCACAGUCAGUCUCUCCUGUGGUCCUUCUUGUGCAGAUUUUAAGAUAGCAAGCAUUACUGGCACAAUUAUGUGUUCUUGAAAUGUGUCGGAGCACCAUGCAUGAUACCUGAUCAACAAGCAUUUAUUGGAGAUUAGGAUCCAUCCCAUCGACUCGGUCCACCGCAUAAUAUUGCUCUUACUGGUUGCUGACGCUCGAUGUACAUAACAUAAAAGAUUUUAAUCCGUUAAACCGCACACAGAUAUAUAUGUUAUAUAUGAUUGCUCGCACAUUAGUGGCCUUAUGUUAAGAGUUUACACAUAAAUUCUCCCCGCAUCAGAUAAUCAUAAAAGUACUAGAGGAUAUAAAUCUAAUAGACAUAAAGCUUUUAGAUUGAAUGAGUUUUACUAGAUAUAUAGCAUCUUUGGACUCAAUGUGGGACUUGGGAGUCCCACACUGAACCACCGUGCAUGAGUGAGUAGUCCUUCGUCUUCACUCCUUUAAUGGAGCUACUGCCGACAUGCAUGUUCAAAUUGAAUGCGGAUGCUGAGAACCAAUUCAGAGGUACAAAAACAAUAACUUUUUUUAAAAAAAGUUAUUGUCCGGCGCAUCUAAUUCAGAUACAAUUUAUUUGAAUCUCAAAAUAGCAUUUAUGCUAUUCAACGGUAGUGAGAGUUGCGUCUAACCAUUUUUUUUUCUCUCAAUUCUAAGCCAACAUGUGGCACAUCUUCUUUACUGGAUGUUAAUAAGCUCGAUUAAGUUCUUAAUGAGCCCACCAGUUAGAUCUUAUAUCUUAUUAACCAUUAACAACCUCAAAGUUCUAAAUUGGAUCACGUAGUAUUCGUGUUGAUUAAUCUAGUCUAACAGAGCUGAUCGUCGAUUUAGAAGCCGCAUCAUUGAAAACAACUUGGUAAUGCGGAGGUCUCAAUACUACCGAUAGCAUACCAGUCUAGCUCUCUCUCUCUCUCUCUCUCUCUCUCUCUCUCUCUCUUUAUAUAUAUAGAGAGAGAGAGAGAGUUGAGUUGGAAUACUAUCGGUAGCAAACGGACUCCUUUGCCACCCAUUUGUUUUCGAUGAUGGAGCCUUCAAAUCGACGAUCUACACCGUUGAACAUGAUCUAUACCCCUUAAAGUAUCUAGAAACUAAAUUACAAAUCUUUUCAACAUCAUUUACCUAAUAAUCAACGGGUUUCAAAUUUUAUAAUUUUAGUGGUAAAUAUAAGGCGUUUUCUCAUUUAACGGUAUAAACUUAUCCAAAUCAAUUGAAUUUUGGUUAGAAAAUUCUUUAAACUAUUUAGAACAAGAUCUAUACUAUCGAUCUUAAUUAUAAAAUUUCUAUCCUCUCUUUUUAGAGGAUAUUUAUUUUCAGCCGUUCAUUUUUACGCCCACUUGAUGGAUAAGAGAACAAUAUAGAAAAAGUAUGAAAUUUGAAUUCUAGAUACUUCAAAUGGUAUAGAUUAUUUUCAACGGUGCCGAUCGUCGAUUUGGAGGUUCCAUCAUCGAAAACAAAUGGGUGGAAACGGAGCCUGUUUGCUACCGAUAGUAUUGCAGCUCAACUCUCUCUCUCUCUCUCUCUCUCUCUAUAUAUAUAUAUAUAUAUAUAUAUGCUACUAUACUAUCGAUAGUACCAAGUGAUUAGUGCUAUCGACUUUUCAGUCGUUGGAUGAAAUGAUGUGCAGUUAAGAUGAUUGCGAUCCCUUAGGGUCGACUUUUCAGUCGUUGGAUGAAAUGAUGUGCGGUUAAGAUGAUUGCGAUCCCUUAGGGUUGAGUGGGUGAUUAGUUGAAUAGUAUAAUCUAACGGAUGAAAAUGAUCAAAGGAUAGAUGUAAUGGCAGAAAAAUCGAUAGUACUAAGAGUUUGGUACUAUCGAUAGUAUAGCAGUAGUACUCUAUAUAUUAUGAUUAAAUGGUAGAUUUAACGAUAGAAAAUUCGAUAGUGCCGCUUUUAAUACUAUCGAAUUUUUUACCAUUAUAUCUACCAUUUAAUCAUUUUUAUCAAUUAAAUUAUACUAUUCAAUCAACUGCUCACUCUUUUGGAUGCAAUUUACGAGAAGCUAUAAAUGGGGGGAAGUGAGGUGGAAGUAGGCUUAUCCUACACUCCUGGCCCAUGCUCAUUUAUGGUCGCAAUAAAUUUUGUAGCAGAUUGUCAGAUUAAUCAGUCUCCUACGUACUAUUCUCUGCAUUUUAUUUAACUCAGGUGAGACCAUACAUCAAUCUAGUAAGAAAUAAUUCUGAGACAAUAAAAAUACAAUAAACAAUCUAACUCGAUACCUCUAGAUCAAUCUAGUAAAAAAAAAUUCCGAAGCAAUAGAACUACAGCAAAUAUUCAAACUGGAAACCUCUUGAAACAGGAGGAACUAACAACUGCUGCCUAUGUUACCAUAUUAAUUGCUCAAGAAAUUGAUCUGAUAUAAAAAUAAUUCAGAAUUAGUUUUAACCGAAGUGGUUGAUAAGAACGUAAAUAUGAAUAGUUUUACGUCAAAUAAUGAUUCAAAUGCACUAGGAGAUCCAAAUUUAAUAAAAUUUAAUGUCAGGACUUAGAAAUUUUUUUUAAGAUUUGUCUUUGUAAUCACUCAAAUUUCAAACCAGAUAUCUAUUGAAGAUUUUGCCUUGAUCUUCUAAAAGCAUCUCUGUGAAUUUCGGAAAGCUCGUAGCCUUUCUUUUUCGCUUGUAUUUUCAUGCCGCUUGACAUCUUUCUGUUUCCUUUAUGAGCGGUGAUUGAUCUUUAAAUAAAUGUGGCUCCACCCCCUCUCAAUUCAAAAUCUUGAUUUGUAAUCCUCUACUUUUUUCUUUUUUUGAGAGAGAGAGACAGGUGGCACGCUACCUCCGCUUCAUUUAUUUCAUUUAGAAAUAAACUUAGCUAGAAAUGUAAAUCAAUUAGAAUUCGAACUUGGGACCUCGAGUACCAAUCAUCAAGCCCUUACCACUUGCGCUAGGAACGGUCGGUGUAAUCCUCUACUUCAAAGUAAUAAAAGAACUUUUUUUUCUCUCUCUCUCUCUUGUUCUUAUUUAAGAACGAAUAGAUCCUAACUUAGCAAGUAUAGAGAUAAGUUUGCUCACUUUACGAAAAAAGGCGAGCAUCGCACGGACUGAACAAGCGAUUUAGCUUAAGUCCAUGACAUUAAACUCUAUAUUGAAUGGUAUUAGAGUUGGUGGUGUGGUCCGAUCUGAGUUAACCAGGUUCAAAUUGAACAUGUUUUUGAGCUAACAUUUUAGGCAACACACCUGUCACAUUUUUGCUCUUCAAUUAGUAGUUAAACGCAUUAAUAUUUUAGGUAACACACACUUCUCAGUUCUCACUUAGCUCUUCCAUAAAUUGGUGGUAGCUACACUCACUUAUUGCUCUUCCAACCUGUUCCUCUCCAGUAAUAUUCAUUCGCUCUUUUGCUACGUUUCCCUGUAGAUCCAUGUGACCAUGUCACUCAAUACUUGGUCCCAAUUCGACUACGUACUCCAAAACUGUACCUAACGCAGUCGGCUAAAAAUUUUAAUGAUCGGUAUCUGAGAUCUUAAGUUAAAAUUCUAAUUGUUUUAUGUUUCUAGCUCAGUUCGUUCUUAAAAAUGAACGAAAUUGAUAGGUUACUACUGUCUUUCUUUCUCGUGAAAGAAAAUUCGUGCAUGAAAUAUCUGAUUUCUCAAAAAAAGUAUAGAAAAUUAUUUUCUCGACAUUAUAUAUUUUUUUUGUUCCUUGGAUACAAAGUUAAAAAAUGAAAUAAUAUCUAGAAUUUUUUUAAAAAAUAAUUUUUAAAAAAAUGAAAAAGAGGAAAAAUAUGGUUUCAUUCAAAAAAGUUAUAUUUUACAGUAUUUUUGGAAAAAUAAACACUCCGUAACUAUGCAUCAAUUAAUGCACUGCACACACCACGAAUCCCUUGUCCCCAACUCCCAACUACUUUUCGUCCUUCUUUAAAAAUAGGGUGUUCACAUAACAUUUAUUUUCACACACUAGAGAAUUUAGAAAUUUCAAAAAUGUUUUUUAAGUUUUUUUUUUAAAAUCUUUUAGUAACUUUAAAAUGAUAGGUAGAUUUAUCAUUAGAAAAGUAUUAGGUUCAAAUACUUAUCUCGAUCAAAUUUUUAUUAUUAUUAUUAUUUUAUAAUAUUAGAUGAGAGGAAAUUAAUGUAAAGUGUUUUAAUUAAUUCUAUGUCGUAAGCAUUUUGAACAAUGCAUUCGCAAAUUAAGCUGUAUAUUUCUACUCAGAUAGUUUAAAAAUGAUCUGAAUAAGUCUUAUGUUAGAGAUGAAUAAAUCAUAUCAUGUGUAAUAAAGAUAUAAAUAAUCAACGUGACGCGUAUUAUAUGACAUAGAUUUCGGCUAAGACAAAGAGUGCACUAAUUAAUUAACAAACUAUUACCUAAAUCAGAUCUCAAACUAACUUGGAUUGUAAAUGCGGAUCAGUUGUAGAAUCAAUUUUUUUACUAAUCGGAUCGCAAAUUUACAUUAGUUAGAAGAGUAGUAAGAGAAUUUAAAAAAAGUACGAAAAAUAAUAUAUAUAUAUAUAUAUAUAUAUAUAUAUAUAUAUAUAUAUAUAUAUAUAUAUAUAUAUAUAUGAGAGCCUUCGCGGAAUGAUUUGUUAGGAGUUGAGCUAGAAUACUAUCGGUAGUAAACGAGCCGUUUUAUUACCGAUUUGUUUUCGAUGAUAGAGCUUCAAAAUUGACGAUCGGCUCCGUUAAAUAUGAUCUAAACCAUUUAAACUACCUAGAAAUCAAAUUUCACGCACUUUUGAUAUUGUUCUUUUAUCCAUCAAGUGAAUAGAAAAAUAAAUGACUGAAAAUAAAUACUCUUUAAAAAAUGAUGAUAGGAGUCUUGUAAUUAAGAUCAAGAGUAUAGAUCUUGUUUUAAAUAGUUUAAAGAAUUUUCUAACAAAAAUUCAAUUAAUUUGGAUAUCUUUAUGCCGGUAAAUAAGAAAACGCCUCUUAUCGACCAUUAAAAUUACAAAUUUUGAAACCCUUUGAUCAUUAGACAAAUGAUGUCGAAAAGAUUUGAAAUUUAAUUUCUAAACAUUUCAAGUGGUAUAGAUCAUGUUCAACGGAGCCGAUCGUCAAUUUGAAAGCUCUAUCAUCGAAAAUAAAUCGGUCGUAAAACGGCUCGUUUACUACCGAUAGUAUUCUAGCUCAACUCGAUAUGUUAGUGUAUAUAUGCUUUUCACGUGAGGUGAAAUAUAAGGCGCUGUCACUUUUUUAGUUUUUUUUUUAAUUUUAAUUUUUGUAUAAUUUGAUAUAUGGAAUAAAUUUUUUCUCUUAUUAUUAUUAUUAUUAUUAUUAUUAUUGGUUAGGUUACUAAGCGCUCUGUCCAAGUGAAAGUGAUAACUUAUUUAAAAACUAUUUUAGAAGUAGAAAAAAAUUAUUUUUAAAUUUUUAUUUUUUAUUGUCGAAUAAAUAUUUUAGAUUUAA